UCCGGGGUCGUCUAAUGGUAGGACACGAGGUUCUGGCCCUCGAAAUCUUGGUUCGAAUCCAGGCCCCGGAACAA
rnacentral:tRNA from 1 species